rnacentral:rRNA from 1 species
AGUGAACGCUGGCGGUAGGCCUAACACAUGCAAGCCGAACGGCGGCACAGUAAGAGCUUGCUCUUACGGGUGGCGAGUGGCGGACGGGUGAGGAAUACAUCGGAAUCUACUUUUUCGUGGGGGAUAACGUAGGGAAACUUACGCUAAUACCGCAUACGACCUACGGGUGAAAGCAGGGGAUCUUCGGACCUUGCGCGAUUGAAUGAGCCGAUGUCGGAUUAGCUAGUUGGCGGGGUAAAGGCCCACCAAGGCGACGAUCCGUAGCUGGUCUGAGAGGAUGAUCAGCCACACUGGAACUGAGACACGGUCCAGACUCCUACGGGAGGCAGCAGUGGGGAAUAUUGGACAAUGGGCGCAAGCCUGAUCCAGCCAUACCGCGUGGGUGAAGAAGGCCUUCGGGUUGUAAAGCCCUUUUGUUGGGAAAGAAAAGCAGCAGGUUAAUACCCCGCUGUUCUGACGGUACCCAAAGAAUAAGCACCGGCUAACUUCGUG